rnacentral:rRNA from 1 species
UACGUAGGGGGCGAGCGUUGUCCGGAUUUAUUGGGCGUAAAGAGCGUGUAGGCGGCCAGGUAGGUCCGUUGUGAAAACUCGAGGCUCAACCUCGAGACGUCGAUGGAAACCAUCUGGCUAGAGUCCGGAAGAGGAGAGUGGAAUUCCUGGUGUAGCGGUGAAAUGCGCAGAUAUCAGGAAGAACACCUAUGGCGAAGGUAGCUCUCUGGGACGGUACUGACGCUGAGACGCGAAAGCGUGGGGAGCGAACAGG